CCGCCGGUGGCGGCGGCGGCGGCCGGCGCUUCGACCCCGCACAGCAGCUGGAAACCGGCGACUUUCUGCGGGUCCUGCAAACUGCCGACCAGCCGGGCCAAGCGCUGCCUCCACGACAUGGGAGUUAGUCCCCUCCUCCCACUCCACUUGCUAGGCUGUGGCCAUGGGAAGAUGAAGAAAUCAUCAUCCGGGCCCUCAAGUUGCUCACAGUAUCAAUGGGAAAAAGAUCCACCUCAGGAGUACAGAGCACAUGACUUUGCUGAUUUGAUUUCUUUUCCUUCUCUUGAACCUCCAUCUGGCUUUUGAUGUAUCCUUUUUUCUGUUGCUCACCCGGGAAGGCUAACUUAAAAAAAUUUUUUUUAAAUAGAAAUUCUCGCUAACAGCUUGAGGGCACAUGGAAGAAAUACAGUUGCAGUGAUUCUAUGGUUACAAUUAUUGUGCCUUCAGAACUCCCAGAAAAAGGUUCCUUUGGUAAAUACUUCUGGUCUAAUAGACCCUAAAGAACUGAAGACUCUUGGGGACGUGUGUUUGUGUGUAUCUACAGAUGUCCACAUAUAUAUAUAUUAUUUAUUUAUAUAUAUAUUUGUAUGGGGUACACACAUAUAUAUCACAGAAGCAGAAAUACAGGUGUGAAAUAAGAUCUUCAUGUAGCAGAACACAUACCUCAAAUUAAUGCCAGCCUCCAAUAAAAUAUCAUCUGUAUCUAAAUAGCAUGUUAAAGAAAGACUUGUCUAAUAAAACCAUCGAGGGUAGAUUUAUUAGAAAUGUAAUUAGCACCCACAAUUCUUCAUUAGUUUCAUUUCAGUGAUUAUGAGGCUAUAUAUGUUAACAUGGGUUAUUAUGCAA